rnacentral:rRNA from 2 species
AUGCAGUCGCACGGACCUUUCGGGGUGAGUGGCGGACGGGUGAGUAACGCGUAGGGAUCUAUCCAUGGGUGGGGGAUAACACCGGGAAACUGGUGCUAAUACCGCAUGAUACCUGAGGGUCAAAGGCGCAAGUCGCCUGUGGAGGAGCCUGCGUUCGAUUAGCUUGUUGGUGGGGUAAAGGCCUACCAAGGCGAUGAUCGAUAGCUGGUCUGAGAGGAUGAUCAGCCACACUGGGACUGAGACACGGCCCAGACUCCUACGGGAGGCAGCAGUGGGGAAUAUUGGACAAUGGGCGAAAGCCUGAUCCAGCAAUGCCGCGUGUGUGAAGAAGGUCUUCGGAUUGUAAAGCACUUUCGACGGGGACGAUGAUGACGGUACCCGUAGAAGAAGCCCCGGCUAACUUCGUGCCAGCAGCCGCGGUAAUACGAAGGGGGCUAGCGUUGCUCGGAAUGACUGGGCGUAAAGGGCGCGUAGGCGGUUCAUACAGUCAGAUGUGAAAUUCCAGGGCUUAACCUUGGGGCUGCAUUUGAUACGUAUGGACUAGAGUGUGAGAGAGGGUUGUGGAAUUCCCAGUGUAGAGGUGAAAUUCGUAGAUAUUGGGAAGAACACCGGUGGCGAAGGCGGCAACCUGGCUCAUUACUGACGCUGAGGCGCGAAAGCGUGGGGAGCAAACAGGAUUAGAU